GCUUUCUACUCUGUCUUGUCUUGUCAAAACAACAACUGUCGGGUUUAUUCUUAUUGUUAAUUUUGAAAGUUCCCUUGAUAACAAUGAAUAUUAUUGUAAUUCUAAAGUAUAUCUGUUCGAAAUAACAGUUUUUCAACAUAAUUUUAUAGUUUCUAAUUACGUGAAUGUGCUAUAAUUGGUGCUACAUUUAUCUGACUCCAUAAACGUAAGUGGUCAAGACAAUGAAUACUGAUGUGCUCAAACGUUGACUGAAUUUUCAUUCUAUCUACAUUUUAGAUGUGUCAGCAACGCAUCGAUUGGAGCUUGGCUACUGAUUUACUCCUGUCAUGGACCACAGCUUUCAAGUAUGGCACUUGACAGGUAUGGACCAACAAAUUAGUGGAGGAGAUACUUGAGACGAGUUCUGCAAUGUAUUGAUGAAGCCAGAUUGCUGGAGGUUGAGAUACAUGGAUGCUGAUUUAUGAGCUUGCUAUCCUGAUGUGACUUGAGUCAGACGACCAGAGCAGAGUAGAGCCUUCGCGUGUGCUUGUUGACAACAGCUGUGAGCAGAGUGAGAGAGAGAACAAGAGGGAGCUGUAGAUCGUCACCGGAACAUUUGAGCGAGCGAAGUGAGCUCUCACCACUUGAUCAUCACUGAUGUGUCGCCGAGCGAAGUGAGAUCUCACCACCUGAGAUCAUCACUGUGUGUCGCCGAGCGAAGCGAGUUCUCACCCCCUGUUGCAGUCUUCAUUCAUCUGGAUUGUGCGGUGUGAAGGGAACACAGUCAGCAACGCAUCGAAUGGAGCUUGGUAGACUCCUGUCAUGGACCACAGUUCUCAAGUAUGGCACUUGACAGGUAUGGACCAAAUUUUUGGAGGAGAUACAUAAGACGAGUUCUGCAAUAUAUUGAAGAAGCCUAUGAUAUGUUGGUAUCCUGAUUAUAUGAUUGAUCACCUGAUUUGUUUCCUUGUCUCAUGGUCCACAUCCUUCAACACAGUGUGUUGGAAUGUUGGAAGCUGGCAGAGGAAGGAAUGUUGCUAGCCAUCUCUCUCUAAUUUCUCCCACCCAUCACCAAUGGACGGACGGACAUUGUACUCACACACAGUACUCGAGGAACGCGAUUUGGCAGUCGCAUUAACAACUCUGGCAUUCAAAUACAUUCGUUUAAUGUUAUCAAAUUAUUCGUCAUUUUUAAUGUAUUCGUCCAUCUUUUGAUUUUAUGUUUUAUUCAUCAGUAAUGAAAUCUCAUUUUCUGUUUUUAAAAUCAGUUUGUAAUUAGUAGUUAAAUUGUAGUUUUCAUUUUCAUUUUAUGAUUUCUUCAUUCAUCUUAUUAUAUUUUCAUGUUUUAUUCAUCAGUAAUGAAAUCUCAUUUUCUGUUUUUAAAAUCAGUUUGUAAUUAGUAGUUAAAUUUUAGUUUUCAUUUUUAUUUUAUGAUUUCUUCAUUCAUCUUAUUAUUUUAUGUUUUAUUCAUAAGUAAUAAACUAACAUUUUCUGUUUAGUAUCAUGUAGUUUCCAUUUUUAUUUUAUCCACUUGUUAUUAUUAUUGUAACCUUGAGUCGCCCUUCCAAUACCACAUAUUAUGUUGGUGAGAAUUAGAAGUAGUGAU